AAACGACUGCUAAUACCGCAUAAUGUCUACGGACCAAAGGGGGCUUCGGCUCUCGCCUUUAGAUUGGCCCAAGUGGGAUUAGCUAGUUGGUGAGGUAAUGGCUCACCAAGGCGACGAUCCCUAGCUGGUUUGAGAGGAUGAUCAGCCACACUGGGACUGAGACACGGCCCAGACUCCUACGGGAGGCAGCAGUGGGGAAUAUUGCACAAUGGGCGCAAGCCUGAUGCAGCCAUGCCGCGUGUGUGAAGAAGGCCUUCGGGUUGUAAAGCACUUUCAGUCAGGAGGAAAGGUUAGUAGUUAAUACCUGCUAGCUGUGACGUUACUGACAGAAGAAGCACCGGCUAACUCCGUGCCAGCAGCCGCGGUAAUACGGAGGGUGCGAGCGUUAAUCGGAAUUACUGGGCGUAAAGCGUACGCAGGCGGUUUGUUAAGCGAGAUGUGAAAGCCCCGGGCUCAACCUGGGAACUGCAUUUCGAACUGGCAAACUAGAGUGUGAUAGAGGGUGGUAGAAUUUCAGGUGUAGCGGUGAAAUGCGUAGAGAUCUGAAGGAAUACCGAUGGCGAAGGCAGCCACCUGGGUCAACACUGACGCUCAUGUACGAAAGCGUGGGGAGCAAACGGGAUUAGAUACCCCGGUAGUCCACGCCGUAAACGAUGUCUACUAGAAGCUCGGAGCCUCGGUUCUGUUUUU
rnacentral:rRNA from 1 species